UACGAAGGGUGCAAGCGUUACUCGGAAUUACUGGGCGUAAAGCGUGCGCAGGCGGUUUUGUAAGCCAGAUGUGAAAUCCCCGGGCUUAACCUGGGAAUGGCAUUUGGGACUGCAAGGCUUGAGUGUGGCAGAGGGGACUGGAAUUCCUGGUGUAGCAGUGAAAUGCGUAGAGAUCAGGAGGAAUACCGAUGGCGAAGGCAGGUCCCUGGGCUGACACUGACGCUCAUGCACGAAGGCCAGGGGAGCAAACGGG
rnacentral:rRNA from 1 species